UACGGAGGGUCCAAGCGUUAUCCGGAAUCAUUGGGUUUAAAGGGUCCGUAGGCGGUUUCGUAAGUCAGUGGUGAAAGCCCAUCGCUCAACGGUGGAACGGCCAUUGAUACUGCAAGACUUGAAUUAUUGGGAAGUAACUAGAAUAUGUAGUGUAGCGGUGAAAUGCUUAGAGAUUACAUGGAAUACCAAUUGCGAAGGCAGGUUACUACCAAUAUAUUGACGCUGAUGGACGAAAGCGUGGGGAGCGAACAGG
rnacentral:rRNA from 1 species